rnacentral:rRNA from 1 species
ACUCCUACGGGAGGCAGCAGUGGGGAAUAUUGCACAAUGGGGGAAACCCUGAUGCAGCCAUGCCGCGUGUGUGAAGAAGGCCUUCGGUUGUAAAGCACUUUCAGUAGGGAGGAAGGUAGUGUAGUUAACACCUGCAUUAUUUGACGUUACCUACAGAAGAAGCACCGGCUAACUCCGUGCCAGCAGCCGCGGUAAUACGGAGGGGUGCGAGCGUUAAUCGGAAUUACUGGGCGUAAAGCGCAUGCAGGCGGCCUGUUAAGUCAGAUGUGAAAGCCCGGGGGCUUAACCUCGGAAUUGCAUUUGAAACUGGCAGGCUAGAGUCUUGUAGAGGGGGUAGAAGUUUCAGGUGUAGCGGUGAAAUGCGUAGAGAUCUGAAGGAAGUACCAGUGGCGAAGGCGGCCCCCUGGACAAAGACUGAACGCUCAGAUGCGAAAGCGUGGGGAGCGAAACAGGACUUAGAUACCCUGGUAGGA